rnacentral:rRNA from 1 species
GACGAACGCUGGCGGCGUGCCUAAUACAUGCAAGUUGAGCGCUGAAGGCUGGUCCUUGUGCCAACUGGAUGAGCAGCGAACGGGUGAGUAACGCGUGGGGGAUCUGCCUUUGAGCGGGGGACAACAUUUGGAAACGAAUGCUAAUACCGCAUAAAAACUUUAAACACAAUUUUUAAGCUUGAAAGAUGCAAUUGCAUCACUCAAAGAUGAUCCCGCGUUGUAUUAGCUAGUUGGUGAGGUAAAGGCUCACCAAGGCGAUGAUACAUAGCCGACCUGAGAGGGUGAGCGGCCACAUUGGGACUGGGAGACGGCCCAAACUCCUGCGGGAGGCAGCAGUAGGGAAUCUUCGGCAAUGGACGAAAGUCUGAACGAGCAACGCCGCGUGAGUGAAGAAGGUUGUCGGAUCGUAAAACUCUGUUGGUAGAGAAGAACGUUGGUGAGAGUGGAAAGCUAAGAAAGUGACGGUAACUACACAGAAAGGGACGGCUAACUACGUG